AGUGAACGCUGGCGGUAGGCCUAACACAUGCAAGUCGAACGGCAGCACAGUAAGAGCUUGCUCUUACGGGUGGCGAGUGGCGGACGGGUGAGGAAUACAUCGGAAUCUACUUUUUCGUGGGGGAUAACGUAGGGAAACUUACGCUAAUACCGCAUACGACCUACGGGUGAAAGCAGGGGAUCUUCGGACCUUGCGCGAUUGAAUGAGCCGAUGUCGGAUUAGCUAGUUGGCGGGGUAAAGGCCCACCAAGGCGACGAUCCGUAGCUGGUCUGAGAGGAUGAUAGGCCACACGGGAACUGAGACACGGUCAAGACUCCUACGGGAGGCAGCGGUGGGGAAUAUUGGCAAAUGGGGGCAAGCCUGUUCCAGCCAUCCGGGGUGGGUGAAGAAGGCCUUCGGGUUGUAAAGCCCUUUUGUUGGGAAAGAAAAGCAGCAGGUUAAUCCCCCGCUGUUCUGACGGUACCAAAAGAAUAAGCACCGGCUAACUUCGU
rnacentral:rRNA from 1 species